CAGCCGUAAACUAUGCGCGUUAGGUGUACUGGUGACCACGAGUCACCGGGGUGCCGAAGGGAAACCGUGAAACGUGCCGCCUGGGAAGUACGGUCGCAAGGCUGAAACUUAAGGAUUGCGGGGAGCACCACAACGGGUGGAGCCUGCGGUUUAAUUGGACUCAACGCCGGAAAUCUCACCGGAUAGGACAGACAUAUGAUAGUCGGGCUGAAGACUCUACUUGAUGAUCUGAGAGGUGGUGCAUGGCGUCAGUGACU
rnacentral:rRNA from 1 species